rnacentral:rRNA from 1 species
UACGUAGGGGGCAAGCGUUGUCCGGAAUCAUUGGGCGUAAAGCGCGUGUAGGCGGCCCGGUAAGUCCGCUGUGAAAGUCCAGGGCUCAACCCUGGGAUGCCGGUGGAUACUGCUGGACUAGAGUGCGGAAGAGGCGAGUGGAAUUCCCGGUGUAGCGGUGAAAUGCGCAGAUAUCGGGAGGAACACCAAUUGCGAAGGCAGCUCGCUGGGACGUUACUGACGCUGAGACGCGAAAGCGUGGGGAGCAAACAGG